rnacentral:rRNA from 1 species
GACGAACGCUGGCGGCGUGCUUAACACAUGCAAGUCGAACGGAAAGGCCCUGCUUUUGUGGGGUGCUCGAGUGGCGAACGGGUGAGUAACACGUGAGUAACCUGCCCUUGUCUUUGGGAUAACUUCAGGAAACUGGGGCUAAUACCGGGUAGGAGCUCCUGCUGCAUGGGGGGGGUUGGAAAGUUACGGCGGUUGGGGAUGGACUCGCGGCUUAUCAGCUUGUUAGUGGGGUAGUGGCUUACCAAGGCUUUGACGGGUAGCCGGCCUGAGAGGGUGACCGGCCACAUUGGGACUGAGAUACGGCCCAGACGCCUACGGGAGGCAGCAGUGGGAAAUAUUGCACAAUGGGCGGAAGCCUGAUGCAGCAACGCCGCGUGCGGGAUGACGGCCUUCGGGGGGUAAACCGCUUUCGCCUGUGACGAAGCGUGAGUGACGGUAAUGGGUAAAGAAGCACCGGCUAACUACGUG